rnacentral:misc_RNA from 1 species
UCCGGUUUAACACCGGCGGUCUCCUUAGAGUGCCCAACUAAAUGGUGGCAACUAGGGAUAAGGGUUGCGCUCGUUAAGGGACUUAACCCGACAUCUCACGAUACGAGCUGACGACAGCCAUGCAGCACCUAAACUAGCGGCCUCCGAAGAGGAAACUCUAUCUCUAGAGCUGUCCGCUAUUGUCUAACCCAGGUAAGGUUCUUCGCGUUGCAUCGAAUUAAACCACAUGCUCCACCGCUUGUGCGGGCCCCCGUCAAUUCCUUUGAGUUUUAAUCUUGCGACCGUACUUCCCAGGCGGGGUACUUAAUGCGUUAGCGUCGGCACUGCAGGGGUCAAUUCCUGCAACACCUAGUACCCAUCGUUUACAGCGUGGACUAC